GCCGCUGUGACCUUGGCGGGUGCUGAGUGCGGUCUUCAAAACCGUAGAGGCCGGGAGGCCUAGUGGUUCAUUUCCACCUCGGCGGCGCCA
rnacentral:tRNA from 15 species